AUUGAAACUAAACUAAUCUCUGUUCUCAGCAUUCAUAUCCCGGUUAACACACACAGUGAUCACGAGUGGUUGCUUUGUUUGCUCACUCUAGUUUGUACAUGCCGUUCUGAGGAUUCCCAGCCAAUUCACUUUCAGUUUGCUGACAAAGAACAAAGAAAUGGAAAACCAAGAACAAAAUAUAGCAGGUGGGGCUGUGUGGCUCUAUUGCUGCAGCCAAUUGCCCUUAAUUAAUCGCAGAGCCAUUUGCAGAUAAAAGCCGAUCUGCCCAGAUAAAUAAGAAGCACCUGAUUCUGGUGAGCAGAACUGUGGAGAGCUGCACAGUCCAACUGAACUUUUAGAUUGUAGGACAAGGCUUUGUGGGCACUUCCAACACGACUUGGUCUAAGUUCCCGCAGGCUGGGUUUCUCACAGGUGGAGGUGGGACGCGAACCAGUGACCUCCCGCACUGAAUGAUCGCCUCAAUACCGCUUAUGUCUUCAUAUGAUUGUGUCAUCUACCAACCCUGACCCCUACCCCCGUGCACACUACACUCUUCCCUGCCAGACUCAAGUCUGCCCUUGGACUUGCUCACCAGGCUACAGGCUUCCAAGUGCACUCAGGGGUACCUGCAUCCCACUUUUAAAACCAAUGUAGCUACCUGGACUUCGUUCUGUGUCUGCUGGACUUGUGGUGUUUUAAAGCACCUGCGAGUGCGCCUGAACUGUUUACCCUUGCUUGGUAUUCCCGUGGUUCUGUUUACCAUAGUUGGUAAGC